rnacentral:rRNA from 1 species
UGGGGAAUAUUGGACAAUGGGGGCAACCCUGAUCCAGCAAUGCCGCGUGUGUGAAGAAGGCCUUAGGGUUGUAAAGCACUUUCGCCCGUGAAGAUGAUGACGGUAACGGGAGAAGAAGCUCCGGCUAACUCCGUGCCAGCAGCCGCGGUAAUACGGAGGGGGCGAGCGUUGUUCGGAAUUACUGGGCGUAAAGCGCACGUAGGCGGCGCGUCGAGUUAGAGGUGAAAGGCCUGGGCUUAACCUGGGAACGGCCUUUAAUACUGGCGUGCUGGAGUCCGGGAGGGGGUGGCGGAAUUCCCAGUGUAGAGGUGAAAUUCGUAGAUAUUGGGAAGAACACCGGUGGCGAAGGCGGCCGCCUGGCCCGGGACUGACGCUGAGGUGCGAAAGCGUGGGGAGCAAACAGGAUUAGAUACCCGGGUAGUCC